rnacentral:rRNA from 1 species
AGAGUUUGAUCAUGGCUCAGAUUGAACGCUGGCGGCAGGCCUAACACAUGCAAGUCGAACGGUAGCACAGAGGAGCUUGCUCCUUGGGUGACGAGUGGCGGACGGGUGAGUAAUGUCUGGGAAACUGCCUGAUGGAGGGGGAUAACUACUGGAAACGGUAGCUAAUACCGCAUAACGUCGCAAGACCAAAGAGGGGGACCUUCGGGCCUCUUGCCAUCGGAUGUGCCCAGAUGGGAUUAGCUAGUAGGUGGGGUAACGGCUCACCUAGGCGACGAUCCCUAGCUGGUCUGAGAGGAUGACCAGCCACACUGGAACUGAGACACGGUCCAGACUCCUACGGGAGGCAGCAGUGGGGAAUAUUGCACAAUGGGCGCAAGCCUGAUGCAGCGACGCCGCGUGCGGGAUGACGGCCUUCGGGUUGUAAACCGCUUUUGACUGGGAGCAAGCCCUUCGGGGUGAGUGUACCUUUCGAAUAAGCACCGGCUAACUACGUGCCAGCAGCCGCGGUAAUACGUAGGGUGCAAGCGUUAUCCGGAAUUAUUGGGCGUAAAGGGCUCGUAGGCGGUUCGUCGCGUCCGGUGUGAAAGUCCAUCGCUUAACGGUGGAUCCGCGCCGGGUACGGGCGGGCUUGAGUGCGGUAGGGGAGACUGGAAUUCCCGGUGUAACGGUGGAAUGUGUAGAUAUCGGGAAGAACACCAAUGGCGAAGGCAGGUCUCUGGGCCGUCACUGACGCUGAGGAGCGAAAGCGUGGGGAGCGAACAGGAUUAGAUACCCUGGUAGUCCACGCCGUAAACGGUGGAUGCUGGAUGUGGGGACCAUUCCACGGUCUCCGUGUCGGAGCCAACGCGUUAAGCAUCCCGCCUGGGGAGUACGGCCGCAAGGCUAAAACUCAAAGAAAUUGACGGGGGCCCGCACAAGCGGCGGAGCAUGCGGAUUAAUUCGAUGCAACGCGAAGAACCUUACCUGGGCUUGACAUGUUCCCGACAGCCCCAGAGAUGGGGCCUCCCUUCGGGGCGGGUUCACAGGUGGUGCAUGGUCGUCGUCAGCUCGUGUCGUGAGAUGUUGGGUUAAGUCCCGCAACGAGCGCAACCCU